GAUGAACGCUGGCGGCGUGCCUAAUACAUGCAAGUCGAGCGAACGGACGAGAAGCUUGCUUCUCUGAUGUUAGCGGCGGACGGGUGAGUAACACGUGGAUAACCUACCUAUAAGACUGGGAUAACUUCGGGAAACCGGAGCUAAUACCGGAUGAUAUUUUGAACCGCAGGGUUCAAAAGUGAAAGACGGUCUUGCUGGCACUUAUAGAUGGAUCCGCGCUGCAUUAGCUAGUUGGUAAGGUAACGGCUUACCAAGGCAACGAUGCAUAGCCGACCUGAGAGGGUGAUCGGCCACACUGGAACUGAGACACGGUCCAGACUCCUACGGGAGGCAGCAGUAGGGAAUCUUCCGCAGUGGGCGAAAGCCUGACGGAGCAACGCCGCGUGAGUGAUGACGGUCUUCGGAUCGUAAAACUCUGUUAUUAGGGAAGAACAUAUGUGUAAGUAACUGUGCACAUCUUGACGGUACCUAGUCAGAAAGCCACGGCUAACUACGUG
rnacentral:rRNA from 1 species